rnacentral:rRNA from 1 species
AAAUUGAAGAGUUUGAUCAUGGCUCAGAUUGAACGCUGGCGGCAGGCCUAACACAUGCAAGUCGAGCGGUAGCACAGAGAGCUUGCUCUCGGGUGACGAGCGGCGGACGGGUGAGUAAUGUCUGGGAAACUGCCUGAUGGAGGGGGAUAACUACUGGAAACGGUAGCUAAUACCGCAUAAUGUCGCAAGACCAAAGUGGGGGACCUUCGGGCCUCAUGCCUUCAGAUGUGCCCAGAUGGGAUUA